AAGGAUGUCACCCCUUGGCUAGAACCUUGCUGAUCACUGCAAACCCGAGUAAAGGUUAAUCAUUCUUAAUCUGUGGUUUUACUGAACCAGUGUCUUCCUGCUGCUGCUGCACUCCUGCUGCAGCUGUGGAGAGCGAGGCGGCUCCCUCAGCUGAUUUGCAUCCAGCCUUACUGCAGUUAUUUUCCUUUGGAAACACAUGGCCUGGAACCCUGGAGAAGAGGAAGAGGAAGGUGUCCUGUUUCUCUCCGGGAGAAGGUGGAGAUGGGACACCAGAGCAAUGGUCCAAACCUCUGAGCUGGGAAGGAGAAUCUGACUUCUGUGAGCCCUGCUUGGUCCCUAAAAGCCCCAAAGCUGAUGGCUCAAGGGGGAGCUGGGAAACUGUCCCAGGUAAGAGCACAGAGGUCUCAACAAAACCUAUGAGCCUACAUUUGAAGCUUCAUUGUUAAUUCUGGGGAGAUUUUUAUGAAUACCAUGAGAACGUGCUGUUAGUCAUGUUGGAGACCUGAUGUUCAAUCAGAAGGGCAGGAGAUACAUGACCUGAAGGCUGUCUUUCUAGGCUGCUGUUUUUGUACAGAAGUUCAUUUUUUGAGAGGAAGAAUGUAUUGAUGCUCAGAGAAGGCAAUUGAGAACAAAUGUCUUCAGACCAGAAAUAGCAUCUGAUUCUCGGACCAAACGAGAGAGACCACGCCAGAUCCACGGGGUGUGCAGACUAAAGGACAUGAAGGCUUCUGCCUACUCCUGUGAAUCAAGGGCAGAGAAAAUCUUGGGAGCCAACACAGAGCACCACACAACUGAGGUAAUUCCCUUUCUCAAAUGAACAGAAAUGAAACAUACAAAAACACUUUUAAAAUUGCAUCAUUAAAUCCCUGCCCAUCUCAGGAUACUUUUUCCCUUCAUCUCUAAAGUGGCAUUUGCCAGAAAAAUUCUCAGACAGAAAGAUAGUCUCAGGCUGAAGGCGUGGUAGACACAGGCAGUGUGAACCCCAAAUCCUGUUCUCUGGCUCUUGCCCAGUGCUCUGUGAAGUAGCCCAGUUCCGUGGCACAGAAAUAAGUGUUCAGUGAUAUGCAUGGACCAUUUUUCUUAAUUUUAGAAAUGAAACUGUGGAGAUCUUGGCCUUUUUUUCUUUCUGUUGAUGUAUUUGCCUUUGAUUCCCUGCCUCUCUAAAAUUAUGCCUCAAACUCUCUCAGUGAAUCUGUUAGGCUGACAAAUAUGCACUUUUUAAAAUUGUAUUUUAGAGAAAUACUGAAUAAACACAGGCCUACAAUACAUCAAUAAUCAAACCAUCUCAGCCACCCUCCUGUAAAAUCCAGAAAGCCAGUUUUCUCACUGGCAUUUCAGGUCUGAGAUCCCAGUUUGAGGCCAACUUGAACAAAUAAGAAAAUUAACUAGGUGAUUUGGGUUCAGCUCCUCUUGCAGAAAACCAUCAUACAUAACUGAGUAGAAUUUUGGCUAUUCACUCUAAGAACCUCUGCUUAGAAAUGUGGCUUUGUUUACAUGCAGCUUGAAUUUUUUGUAGAGCUGACAGAGGGAAUUCCUAUAUACUGCAGACUGAUCAUACAGUGAGGGCUGUGUGCUGCUAACACACUGGCAGAAGGCAUGGAGAGAGCAAUCCUUUAAUGCUUAUCAAUACAUGAGUGGGUAUUUUGUAGAGUAUUAACCCGAAUUGCAGAGAUGUAUGCUGGGGUGUGUAAAACAUGCAAUGCAAAGCGGGGCUGAAAGCCUUUUGUCUAUUCUCAAAAGAGAGCUGGGGGAAAAAAAAUUAUGAGAAACAAAUCCAAAUCCUUCCAAACUGAACUUAAGUGUUAAACAUGACCUUUGGAUUUAAGAACCACAAAUUUUCACAGGAAGUUGAAAACACGCUGGAUGGGGGAACUAAAGAACAGCAGGAACAGAUGCCAUUAUUUGGCACACAGUGGGGAGAGCAGCACAGAAAAGGCAGUCUCUGCAGAAGACAUUUGCCUUUAACUCUCUUUGUUUUCUCUUGGGGAGAUAAGGGUAGGCACUGUGUGAGAUUUUCUCCUUACAUCAAAAAGCUUGGGGCAGGGGGGAAGGACAAGUUUAAAAAUAUUUUAAGAACCUGGCCAUAAAAAUUUUCAGUUAUCUGUUUUACAGCACAAGAGGGUUUGUGAGCAAAGAGAGCCUAGGAGGGGUCUCCUUAGAUUAACUGCAACAGCCACUUGCUAGCAGGGAAGGAAAGACCUGGGAAAGGGAACAAAUAGUGUGCAGUCUUUGUUAAAUAGAGUUAUAUUCAUGGGGAAUGUGUGUAUGGAACUCACUGCAUUGCCAGCUUGUAGGGCAGAGGGAUGAGCCUGGCUCCUGCAGGGUGAGCUCACCCUGUCCCUGCUGCUCGGGCUGUGAGACAGAGGCAAAUGACUUUUUCUCACCCACCCAGAGGACAGUCUCAAACACACACAGAAGGGUCACCCACUGUAGUUUUGCUUGGUUUCUGCAUUGUUAGGAGCAUGAGACUAAGCCAAAAACCACUUCUUGCGCUUUCCUCUGGCUGUUGCAUCCUUUAAAUCCAGCUUGGACCAAGGGAAUGGAGCAAGCACAUUGCACCACCAGUGAAUCUAAAGAAGGUUUAUUGGUGAAUGUGUGUUUCUGAUUCAGAACUAGGAGAGAAUUGUGGAAUUGACAUCAAAUGUAACAAAUUAUAGAGGCUGGCUACCCAAGAUGGGUGCAGCAACUAUUCAAAUAAAUUAUUCAGAGAAAGGACAUGAUAUUUUGUAAAACUUGGUCCACUUACAUAUAAGAGGUUGAAUACUCGUGCCAGGGGCCUGAUGACCUUUCCUGUAGCAGUCUCUGCUCAGAGACAGUGGGAUCAAAGAAUUCCUAAUUAGUGGUAUCUCUUUGGGAGGGAGGAGAGAAAGAUUAUUACUUUGCUUUCACUUCUGAAGAUAACACUUAUGUAUAGUGGUAACCUAUCUUUGGCAACAAUUUCAGCACACAAAUUAUAGCUUUAAUGACCCCAUAAGCAUUCCUAGUUCAAAACAAAGAACUAGGGAGCAAAGAUAAGUUGCAGGGGGAUGGAUGCAAGAAAAAUAUUUUUAAAAUGGGAUUACUGUGAAAAUCAACAGACUCAAUCAGGUUGUGUCAUUAUUAAAACUCCUAUUCUGUAAAUCCCUGCAGUUUCAAAGGUGAGGCCAGUUUACUGACAAGGGCUCAAAUGUAUGACAUUGGAAUUCCUGGGGGGGUUUUUGUACCCAAAAUUUACCAGUUGACGCAGGGUGUUUUGAAUACUAUGGUGAAAUUAAGCAAUAGGACAAAUCCACAGUGAAGGCUCAAACAAACCCUAUUAGAAAGGAAGAAGCAAAGAGACACAUCAUUUUUGGAAUGCAUUUUCUCUAACUUCAUCAUAUUUGUUUGAGGUCAUAAUCUUUACUAAAAUUAAAUUGUUGAUUUUGCUAAAUUUUUCUCUGAAUGGAGCUGUCUUCCAUGGGUGCAGGGGCAAAUGUAAAUCUCAGAUGAGCCCACCAAAGGUAUGAGCACAAAGCAACUCUAAGCAUGUAAAUUAGGUAAAUACCUUUCCGUAUCCCUUCAUGGAGCUGAUUGGCAAAUGCAAUGUAUGGUUUAUGCUUUGAAGCUGUGCAACCUUUAAGUGCUUGAAUUUCAGCAUGCAGAGCCCUGUUGAAAUUUAUGGUGUUACUUACUUGCUUUAAGUUUUAAAAUGUCACUAAAGGGAUUGGGAUAAUACAGAAUGCCAAGAUACUGUCUGUAGUCUUUGGAUGGUAUGCCCACGGUGCUUAUUUCCCUCCUCAUGAGGUUUUAAAUCCUGUAAAUAUUUAUUCAUACAUACCUAUUUUUAACAUGGUGUUUAAAAUGCAGCUCAGAUUUUGGUGGGGCAUGAGGUGCUAACUUAGGAAUGGGUCAGUGGUGGCAGCAGCCUGAGUGGUUUGCAUGUCUAGGGAACAAUGUGCAAUACAAAGGUAAGAGGUUGGGUAAAAUGGGUAUAAUCCAUGUUAAAAGCUUUUAAUUUUCACAUGUUCUCUUACUUUAAGUAUCUGUGUAGUUCAUUGGAUGUGAUUUGUGUGAUGGUCUUUUCAUGUCUUUGGCGGUGUGAAGAAGGGCCAGUAUGUGCUUCAGUGUCACAGACCAAGCUAUUUAAAGUUGCUUUCAAUGUAAAUAAGAAUGAUUCCUAGAGAUUCAUUGGGAUAGUAAUGCAUAACCUGGAGAUAAGCAAAAAUGUAGUGAAUAAAAGACUCAUAUACCUAACAAUUUGCAGAAGUGGACCUAGAGUGAGCAGAUUUCUCUUUUGCAGGCAAAACUUAAUUCCCCAAAUGAAAAUAUAAGUGAAAUAAGUUAAGCCAAUCUUCUCAUGUAUAAAUAUUGUUUUGUCAGUAUAUUCUAAUUUCCUAAAUUUUCUCCAAGUCAAAAGUGUUUGAGAAUCAGAAACAUUGGAGGCCUCUUGUAUUUAAUAAGGGUUGGUGCCUUUUGUCAUUUGAGGGGAAAAAAAAAUAAAUGGCAAUGGAAGCUAUUUUGUUAAUGUUUUUAUCUGUUCUGUGACUGACAUCAAUAAUACAUAACAGUUCCAUUGACAUUGCAUCCUGUCCAAUGGAGCCACUGACCUGAUUCAAUGUCAGCUGAAAUGCCUCGUACAUCAUAAACAUACAUGAAUUCUCACAGAUC